CCUACGGGAGGCAGCAGUGGGGGAUAUUGCACAAUGGGGGGAACCCUGAUGCAGCGACGCCGCGUGGGUGAUGAAGGGCCUCGGAGUGUAAAGCCCUGUUAGUAGGGAAGAAAAUGACGGUACCUGAAGAAUAAGCCCCGGCUAACUACGUGCCAGCAGCCGCGGUAAUACGGAGGGGGCAAGCGUUAUGCGGAUUCACUGGGCGUAAAGGGGGCGUAGGCGGGGGAGCAAGUCAGGAGUGAAAGCCCGGGGCGCAACCCCGGGACUGCACUUGAAACUGCGUGGCUGGAGUGCAGGAGAGGCAGGUGGAAUGCCUGGUGUAGCGGUGAAAUGCGUAGAUAUCAGGAGGAACACCGGUUGCGAAGGCGGCCUGCUGGACUGCAACUGACGUUGAGGCGCGAAAGCGUGGGGAGCAAACAGGAUUAGAUACCCCAGUAGUC
rnacentral:rRNA from 1 species